UCGACCUGAGGUCAGGCAAGA
rnacentral:rRNA from 3 species